rnacentral:rRNA from 1 species
AGGAUAUUAUUAUUAAAUAUUAUGCAAUUUUUUUAUAAUAAAAUUAAUUUUAUGUUAAGUUUAAGUAGGGUUUAAUGAAUAAAUUUUUGUUAUGAUAAUUUAUUAGUACUGUAGAGGAAUUAUGAAAUAUAUGAAAAGUUAUUUGUAUAAAAAAAGAAUAUUAUUUGUACCUUUUGUAUCAGGGUUUAUUAAUUAAUAAAAAGGAUUUUUGGAUCCCGAAUUAAGAAGAGUUAAAUUAAUAUUGUAGUUGAUAUGGCAUUAUCAUUAUUAAUUUUAAUUUUGCAAUGAGAUGUUAUUCGUUUCUUAAGAUAUCUGGUUUCUCAAGAAUUAAAUUUAAUUUAGUUAUUUAGAGCAUUGUUAAUUUUUUUAAAAUUAGUUUGUUUUGAAUUUAAUAAAUAAUAAGGGAUGAGCUUUAUUAUUUAUGCUAUAAUAUUGAAGUUAAGUUUGAAGAUGUAGGCUUGAAAUUAGCUUUCAUUGGAAGGAUGUUAUAAAUUGUUUUCUGCUUGAAAAAAAUUUUUUUCUUAUGUAGAGGUCAAUGAUAAAUAAGGUAUAUAAAUAUGUAUUUUUAUAAUUUUGAUUUAGAAUUAGUAAUAAGGAAUUAGGCAAAACUAAUACUCGCCUGUUUAUCAAAAACAUCUCCUUUUGUAUAAAUAUAAGGUAGGGCCUGCCCACUGAUUAUUUGAAGGGCCGCGGUAUUAUGACCGUGCAAAGGUAGCAUAAUCAUUAGUCUUUUAAUUGAGGGCUGGAAUGAAUGGUUUGACGAAGUAUUAACUGUCUUAUUAUUAAAAAUAGAAGUUAACUUUUAAGUUAAAAGGCUUAAGUGUUUAUAGAGGACGAGAAGACCCUAUAAAGUUUUAUAUACAUUUAUAAUAAUUUAUAUUUAGUUGUAUAACUUAAUUGUUAGAAGUAUAUUUUGUUGGGGUGACAUAAAGAUAUACUAAACUCUUUAUUUAAUAUACAUUGAUUUAUGGAUGUUUGAUCCAUUCUUAGUGAUCAUAAGAUUAAGUUACUUUAGGGAUAACAGCGUAAUUUUUUUUGAGAGUUCGUAUCAACAAAAAAGAUUGCGACCUCGAUGUUGGAUUAAGGAAAUAGUUAGGUGUAGCAGUUUAAUUAAUAGGUCUGUUCGACCUUUAAAUCCUUACAUGAUCUGAGUUCAGACCGGUGUAAGCCAGGUCGGUUUCUAUCCUUAUAAUAAUAUGGUGUUUUAGUACGAAAGGACCAAAUACUUUAAAGAUUAUUUAUUAGACUUGUUUAAUAAUAA